GACGAACGCUGGCGGCGUGCUUAACACAUGCAAGUCGAACGGAAAGGCCUCUUUCGGGGGGUACUCGAGUGGCGAACGGGUGAGUAACACGUGAGUAACCUGCCCUUGACUUUGGGAUAACUUCAGGAAACUGGGGCUAAUACCGGAUAGGAGCUCCUGCUGCAUGGUGGGGGUUGGAAAGUUUCGGCGGUUGGGGAUGGACUCGCGGCUUAUCAGCUUGUUGGUGGGGUAGUGGCUUACCAAGGCUUUGGCGGGUAGCCGGCCUGAGAGGGUGACCGGCCACAUUGGGACUGCGGUACGGCCCAGAAUCCUACGGGAGGCAGCGGUGGGGAAUAUUGCACAAUGGGGGGAAGCCUGAUGCAGCAACGCCGCGUGCGGGAUGACGGCCUUCGGGUUGUAAACCGCUUUCGCCUGUGACGAAGCGUGAGUGACGGUAAUGGGUAAAGAAGCACCAGCUAACUACGUG
rnacentral:rRNA from 1 species